rnacentral:sRNA from 1 species
GGAUGUGAGGGCAAUACUGCUGCAGUAUCAUUCACCCCAUCGAUCACGAAGCUGGUUUGGCUGGUCCAGCUUCCAUGCAUGAAUUCAUGCACCUACCCUGAGGCUGCAUGUCGGUGGGAGACCUUCCCCGAUGGGGGAGGACUGUUGUUCCUUUGAGCGGGUUCGAAUGGCUGUGCUGAGCCUCCAAACAGGCUCUCAGGAGUAUUUUAUAGAUGGAACUGUGCAGUGAGUGACUCAUGGAGUCUCCUU